CACCGCAAACAAAUGCAAACACGGUAUUAAAUAAACCAAGAAACAAAUUACCUCGAACAUUUCUUUGUGCAUAUGGCCGAUAAUUGGUCUUGCUCCAGCUGCUAGCACGCGAGGAGGGACGUCGGACGGCCCCGGUCCGAACAUGUGACGAUGGGGAACCUCGAACGGCUGGAGCAGGCAUGCUGGUGGCGGAAUGCUGAUAGGGAACAUGGCUCGAUGGGAGCGAUUCAACCGAGAAGCACUUACAGCGUAUACAGUGACGCUUGUGUCUUUGCCUGGGAGACCAGGAGAUGCUUCCCCAAAGGCUGAGAGGAGAAAGAGCCUUGCUUGUAGACAAUCUUCCCCCGGACUAUGGUGGCAUAUACCUUCCCUCGCAGCUUGAAGCCAAGAUAACAAGGUCAGCAUCAUAACCUGGAAAGAGGCCUCCCUUCUGCUUGUCAAGGCAGCAGAGCUGUGCUGGUUUCUGGCAGAGGAUCCUCACCACAUCAGGCAGUGAGAAGCCUUUCUUACUGGCCGUGGUCCAGAACAGAGACAGGCCUGAAAUCAUAGGCAGUGUGGGUGAUGACAAGGAGGUGAUGACAUUUUGAUACCAUAUAAAGAAGGUUAAUUAGCAUCUAUAAUGACAUUGCAAUUAAGUGACAUAUACAGUGCCAUCCAUAAUGUUUGGGAUAAAGACCCCGUCAUUCAUUUAUUUGCCUCUGAAUGGAUCUCAAAAAAAUUGGAUGUUGGGACUAGAUUCAGCUGUAAAUUAUGCUGAAGUAUGGAGCACAUUUGUUCGCUAAAUGACUUUGAGUCAUCAAGGGUCCAAGGUAUCAAAUGAGCCUCAAACCACCGUGCUGCUGCCAGAUAUCCAGUAGGUACAAAAAUAAUUGUUUCCCCUGAAUAUUUUUUCCAUUGAGUACAACAGGAGUGUAGUGAAAUACA